CCUGGUAGCUUCAGGUGGGCUUUGAAUUUGGGAUCCUCCUGCCUCAGUACCCUGAGUGCUGGGAUUAUAAGCCUGUUGCUGUUUUCAGUGUGCUAUUUUCAUUUCUUAGUCAAAUGACAGCUUCUAUUUAGUGCUUUUAGGAUGGCUUAUAAUAGAAUUAUGGGUUUCAUUGUGCUGGGGAAGGCUUUCAGCAUGCAACCAUGCUAUGGUUUACAAUUACAAAACCAUCUUCAGUUAGUUCCUUGGGAAGAUUUGUUGGAGAUUUUACUUGCUCAUAAUAGGGUAACUUUCCCUAGUUGUCGAUGUUGCUUGACUUUCUUCUCCUGUGGGAAAAAAUUUAAAAAAUAGAAAUUUGGGAUAUCCAUACACAUUUGUGCUCUUAAAAAAUUAUUUACUAAGAUUCUAAAAACUUUGUAGACUCUAGUUGAAAUAGCAAAAAAUGUUCAGUCUACUUUAAAGUCCUUUCUUGAUGAUAUCUAAAAGCAACCCAGUGACAUUUUGAGAUAGUAUGAAGAUGAAUUGUGUUUUGGGGAGAGAGGGUAAGGUUAUAUUUCUCCAAUACAACUAGUCAGACCAGUUCUAACAGAAUAAAGUUAAAGAACUCUUAAAGCUUUGUCAAGAAGGGGGGUGGGAUUUUAAUGCUUUACAUGUAUUCUAAGGGAACAUUGGUAACAUUUAUUAGGGUAUGGUGAUACUGAAAUAAAUGGACAGUAGAGGAGUUCAGUUAUGUUGGGAGAAGUUUUGGGUUAGUUGACCAAGACCUUGAGUUGUUUUGAAAGCUGAUUCAAGGGAGGUAGAUGAAGGUAGUCAGUGGCCAGUCAUAUAUGGGAUUCCAACUCAAGAGGUCAGAUUUGAAAAACAUACUCGAAGACUAGUUGGUGGUAAUUAGAGCAAGUUCCUGUGGAGAACUAAGCAGAAACAGCUGGGAAGCACCCGCAUGUAAGGAAUGAGUAGAAGCUGGUGGUAGAAACCCGUAGUAAGAGCAGUAGUCUUCAACAGUGCAGUACUCCCACUCCAGAAAUAAGCAGAGAGAACCUGGUCACUGGGUCAGAUACUGCAAAGAGCAGAAGUCUAGUAACUGUUAGAUUUAGGAGUUGUCAAGAACCUGUCAAGACAGUUGUUGUGAACCAUUGGGAACUGCAGUGUGAUAUUGUGCAAGUUGAGUUGGGUUGGAAAGAAGUAAACAGUAAUGGCUCUGAGUAUGGAGGAUGAAAGCUAUGAAGCUGCAAUGGAAUUUUGUAAAAACAAAAAUAUGUUGGGAACAUUUAUUCAUUUGUAUAUUUGAUUUUUGUUGCUUUCAAGUAUCUUGUAUGCCUUGGUAACUUCAUCAUAUACUUUAUACCAGAAAGUGGUGAUUGCGUGUUUGUGUGUGUGUUCACUUGAAGACAGGUGACAACCCUCCCUACCCCUACCCCUCAACCCCCCCCACCCCGUUUGUGUUUCCCAGGCAUCAUCUGUUUUUUUGUUUUGUUUUGUUUUUGAGACAGUAUCUCUCACUGGCCUGGAACUGGCCAAGUAAGCUAGGCUAGCUGGCCAGUGAUCCUCAAGGAUCUGCCUAUCUCUAUUUCCCAGCACUAGGAUUACAAGCAUCUGCCACUAUGCUCAGAUUUUAGGUCCUUGUACAAACUUUACUGAACUGUCUCUCUAGCCCCCAUUUCUGUUUUACGACUUCAUCAAUGGAACUCUUAAAGGUGGUUUUUAAAGGCUUGACCUGUUUGAUGCUUGUUAAAGGGACAAACAGGGAGGAAUUGGAGGCCUAUCCCCCAUGCCAAGGUUGAACCCAGACCCUUCUUCAUGCUGGAUAACUGAGAUGUCCCUCUUCUAGAACUUGACUUUCCUCCAGUGCUCUGUCCCCUUCACUUAGAAGAGUGUCUGACACAUGGAAGACAUAAAUUCCUUAAAGUGGAAAAACUGAAGGGAAGAUGCUCUCAUCAGAAACAAUUACAAAGAACCAGCUGGUGAGGUGGUUAGGUGGGUAAAGAUGCUUUCCAUCAAGGCUGCUGAGAUGGGGACUUGAGUUUGAUAUCUGGAACUCGGUGAGUUGUCAGGGGCUUGGUGGUUAAGAGCGUCAGCUGCUUUUAGAGAGGACCUGGGUUUAAUUUCCAGCAUUCACAUGGUGGCUCAUAACCCUUGAAACUCCAGUCAAUCUAAAGGGAUCUGACACUUCCUGGCCUCUGGGCACCAGACCGGCAAGUGGUGUAUAGACAUACAUUCGGGUGAAACACUAUGUUCUGCUUAGUUUUAUAUCAUCCUGACAUGAGCUAGAGUAAUCUGAUAGGAGGGAACCUCAGUUGAGAAAAUGGCUCCAUAAGAUCCAGCUGUAAGGCAUUUUCUUAAUUAGUGAUUGUUGUGGGAGGACUUAGCCCUUAGUGGGUGGUACUAUCCUAGUCUGGUGGCCUGGGUUCUAUAAGAAAGCUGCCUGAGCAAAGCCAUAGGAGCAAACCAUUAAGCAGGACCUCUUCAUAGCCUCUGCAUCAGCUCCUGCAUUCAGGCUCCUGCCCUGUUUGAGUUCUCAUUCUGAUUUCCUUCAAUGAACAGUGCUGUGGAAGUGUAACCCAAAUAAAUUCUUUCCUCCUAAGUUUCUUUAGCCAUUUUUUUUUAAACAGCAAUAGUAACCCUAACUAAGACACACCCAUACAUAAAAUUUACAAAAAGGAAAAAAGAACCUUUAUGGAGUUAACAUGUUAUAUACUAAUUUUGAGUUACUUAAGGAAAUUAUUUAAAUAUUUCUUUGCACAUGUCCUGCCAUUCAGUUGUUUAAAAAGUAAAUAUGGUAGCAUUUAUGUAGAUCAUAAACCACAAUAUUUUGAUAGGGAAAGGGGUUAGAGGGCUGUAAAGUAAAAGGCCAGUAUUAAGGUAAUGGGAAAAAUAUAAACAUCUCUGGAAAUUGCUUGAGUCAGUUUGUUUGAAAAUGCUUUAUAUUGAAAGCAGUUAAUACUGGUCAACAGUCUCUUCUAAAUCUGUGCUUUCUGUAACUUUCUCCACUAUGUUUCUGGUGUGUUAUAAGGCACAUAUUCAUGUGUGUGUAAGGGAUUAUGUUUGCCCAUACUCAUGUGUUAAGGCAAGAGGUAGACAUUGGGUGUCCUCCAUCACUCUGCACCUGAUUUAUUUCACAGAAUUUAGAGCUCACUUUUUCCACUAGAGUGGCCUGUGAGCAUCUAGAAUUUGCUUCUAUGAGCACUGGAGUUACAGACCUGUGCUUCUGUGCCCAUGUCUCAGAACAUGGCUAGGGUCCACAUAGAGGUUCACAUGCUAGUACGGCAAGCGUUUUACCUGCUAGGCCAGUUCCCAGGCUCCACUAGCUCCCUGUUUUGAUAGUGUAUUUAUAUGUUUAAAAGACAUGCAUGCUUAUAUGCUCAUUGGCUUUAUUUAAUACAUUAUGAAUAGGUCACUCUAGUGACUUUUUUCUUUCCUUGUUCUAUUAGGAGACAGCAUGUGCUUUGUAUAUGUGAGUAGCGUGUGGGAGCUCUUCAUAACUAUUUUCUAGGGUCACAAUAAAUUAAUCUUUUAUGUCUAAGUUAUUUUGAGUCACAGUAGCUUUCUAUUUCUGAGUUUGUGUCUUAAAGGUAGACAUUUUAAUUAAUUUUAUAAGUAGAGUUGGAGUUUGCUUCCCUAUCUUAGUCUACUGGGGCUCCAUAACAAAACUCCAUAAACAAAGUGCUCUAUAAUCAACAGUCAUUUGCCCUGUAUUGAGUCUGGAAAUUCUGGGUCAAGAAACUAGCAGAUUCAGUGUCUGAUGGGGGUUCAAAGAUACCUUGGUUCAGACUGUGCCUACAGUGUAAAGGCUGUAGGACCUCUCUUGUGAGGGUACUAUUUUCAUUCAUGAGGGCUCUAUCCUUAGGACUUAAUGAAUUCUCAACAUCCUGCCUGCCCCAUCCCACUUUAUCACCUCUCUUAGUCCCCACCCUGCCUGGUGGGUGAGGAUUUCACUAAUAUAUUUUGAGGAAAUACUCAGGCCAAAGCACUUAUACCAUGUAAAGAAAAAUUAAGCAAAACUGAAUAAAACAAGCAAAAAACCUUUCCCUGACAUUCUAGUUACAUCAUAGAAACCUAACGAUUGUUUUAACUAAUGAAAAUAGGAAUGUGCCAUAGUGUCACAUGUCUUGACAAACCCUGAGUUCUAUAUACAUUGUUUAAUAAAAAGGCUUAUGAGGGAAAAAGAAUGGGGUAAACUCAAAAAUCCAUGUAACUAAAAAAAUCAGUGAAAGAUUGGCAUUUGUACCAUCUUUUACAGUCAGUCUUCAGAGUCUUUCUCUCUAGAUAGCUAAGUCAUAGAAGAACAUUAAUCCUAAAAGGCUAUCUUCAGCUGGGUGGUGGUGGCACAACCCUUUAAUCCCAGCACUCUGGAGGCAGAGGCAAGCGGGUCUCUGUGAGUUGAGACCAGCCUGUUUUACAAAGCUACACAGAGAAACUCACCAAAAAAAAAAAAAAAAAAAAGCUAUCUUUGCUAAAAUUACAAUCUGGUUUGGGGGUAAGUGUAGAUGUGGUUCAA